rnacentral:tRNA from 1 species
AAGGAUUUAAGUUAAAAAAAACUACCAACCUUCAAAGUUGGAAACAAGGAGGUAUCUUUAAGCCUUA